rnacentral:misc_RNA from 1 species
UUUCCGUAGGUGAACCUGCGGAAGGAUCAUUACUAGAUACGCGGGAAGCGAGGUCUGUAGCUGAGCCGAACUAUCGUUCACGCCUGCGUGCCCUCGCACACAUCCAUCUCACGCCUAUGUGCACCACCGCGUGGGUCCCCCUUUGGCUUGUUCGGCGGGGCGCUGGCAUGAACCCACACACCUUGUAUGCAGCGUAGAAUGUUUUUUUUGUUUUUGCGCAAACGCUUUAAAUACAACUUUCAACAACGGAGCUCUUGGCUCUCGCCUCGAUGAAGAACG